UGAGACUGACAGCUAACUGCUCUGUCUGUGCUGCUGUGUAUUUAUCCUCCUGGAUGGGACCUCUAAUACCCAUUCGGGGCUGUUCUCUGUUCCCCCGGAGCUGUGGUGGAUGUGGCUUCAACCUCCAUGUAACACCGUGCCAACUCUUGCCUGUACCUUCUGAAAGCUUGUUGCUGUGUGCUUCCCUUCUCAGCCAGUGCAGCUUGUAACAUUUAGCACUGAAGCAUUUCUGUCCACCAGGGCCUGUAUAUAGUCUCCACACAUGGAUACAGUAGCUGAUUUCAGCCACCUUUCUACAUAUUUGGUUUGGUGACCUCUCUCCUUGUUUCUACCCUUCCUCACUCUUUCUUGAUACAGAGAACAGGGAGAAAUGGGAGUACCCGGCUUUCGAUCUGUUCUGACUUUUCUGCCCCUGUAUUUGUAAUGGUGUUUGUGACUUGCUGGUUUUGUUGAGGUGUCCCAGAAGCUACGGGCCUGAAGAAGCAGAGUGUUGUGUAAUCUGCAUGCUUUAUAUUGGUUUUCACUGUAGCCUGUCAAGUUAAUAGACCUCAUUGCAUCUGCUCACAGACCUUGUGCUUUCCUGGUUCUUAUCUCUCCUAGGUGUCAGCAGAAGCAGCAAUAGCAGCUGUGUAUCCUAAGUCUGGAAAGAUGGAGUUGACAGUUCCGUAGUUGAGAGGCAACUUCCAGAUACUUGCUUUACAUUGCUGGUGAGACUUCAGAGGCUUCAUUAGCAAUUACCUGGGGACUCUCUGCAAGCUCUUUCCGACCCAGACAGUCUUGGAUGCAUUUUACCACAUUCAGUUUCCCCUCAUUAUGUUUUAGAGAUAAAUGAAAAAUUAAUUGUGAGAGACUUCAUGACCACAUUUUCUGUUUCUGAAGUCUGAUUUUUAAAAAGCCCUUUCAUAUCUA